AUGGUAAGGAGGAGCAUGUUACAGCCAAACGCCAAAGUGAUGGUGAAAACAAUGAUACGAAAGGGGUCAAACGCCAUAAAGAGGAGGAUGCUGCAGUGACUGUGGAACCAGAACCUGAAAAUGAAGUAGUACUACCGUGAGGGAGAAUGGGCAAGUUAUUAAGUACUAGUGGCUCCAUAUUAAAGCAUCUGCGAAACCAAAUCAAAGCUGGCCUAGAUGGGACUCGAGUCCACGCGCACACUUGCCACCAUACCAUCUUAACAAAUGAGCAAGAGUGCAAGACACUAACAAGUAGUCAGCGGUCUCAUCGUCAAUGUCACAUGAAGGACAUUUUCCGUCUCCAAAAGCUAUCACCUCUCCAGCCGCCAACACCAUGGUUGUGGGAAUCUUACCGCUUAACGCCCUCCACACACAGCAAUUCACCUUCGGCAAUUUUUCUCCACUUCAACACCUGAUGCUGACCAUCCACUUCCCCGGUUCUUCUAUAUCCACGCAAACCUUGACUUCCACAGUUCCACAACCACUUAUCUGGCUCGUCCCUUAACGAAUGCUGACCCAAAGUAGCCAUCAACUGCUAUUUUAGC